AUAGAUGAAAAAAUCAAUACGAAUUAAAAAUGAACUUUUGAGAGAUAUUUUAGUCUCAAAGUGAAAAGAAGAGGUUCGUAAAAGGUGAUUCUGAAGUACUGAAUCAGGUUCUUGGUUUUGUUUGCUCUGAACACUUGACUGUUUGUUAUCCGAUAUCAGUAGUAGUAGUCUUAAGCAAAAGCAGCAUCAACAUGUCAAAUUUCUCUUCCUGGUUCUUCGCCCAAGUACUUGUACUGCUAGAUCACUCGCUCUUCAACGUCACUUCAAUUCUUCCUUCUGCGACACCCACAGAGGUUUGGGUGUUAGGAACAAAGGCAGCACGCAAUACGUUGUUAAGGGAUCACAGAAAGAAUUUCCGCGGGAGCUUCUUCAGGAGUUGAAAAUCGUCUGUCAGGAUAACAUAUCUCUUGAUUAUGAUGAAAGAUAUAUCCAUGGAAAACCACAAAACAGCUUUCACAAGGCUGUCAAUAUCCCAGAUGUGAUUGUUUAUCCAACAUGAGACAUGCUCUGAGCUGAAGCUUGUCUGAAAUAUAUGUUUACUUAUUCAUCUGAUCAUAGUUUCUUUUCUACAACUGCAGUGAUCUUGUGUUAUCCUUUUAAAUUUUAACUUCAUCACAAUUUGGUACUUGCAUUGAGAAAGAACUUGGAAGUUUCUACUGCAGUGUUUUUCCAAAUAAUAUAGAUUUGAAAGACUUCAAUUAUAUGUUGUUCUCUCAUUCCGUUAUAAUUUUCAAAACAGAACUAUUGAAAAUACUUGCUGCUGAGCUAUGUUGAAAAUGUGUUACUUGUGUUUCUCAAGUGGAGUUGUAAUAUCGUGACAAUUAUUUGAAUAUAGUAGCAGAAUGGUUAUGGAGAUUUGGUGGACAUCAGAGCAAUUGAACCUGGUGAUAUUUUGUUAGAUACCUUUAUUCUGAAUACCACUUUGAUAUAUCAUAUGCUCUAGUAGAAUGUUGCCGUGAUCCUAACAAUUUUUGCUCGUGGUAUUUAUUUCUAAUAAAAAGUAUUUUUUCCCCUCUAUAUUUGACCUGAAUACUGUUUGAAAACAGACAAGUCUGAUAUAAUGUGGUUGAUUUCUUUUUUAAAAUAAUUUUCUACAUGACAUUGGUCAAUCUGUAUAUCUGCAGAUCAGUAAAUUGGUUCAUUUCCGAUCUCUGAAUCCUGCAGAAUCGUAUAUUCGUAUUUACUUAUGCUUAGUGCUUUUGCUCCCAAAUGCUAUUAUGUCUAAUAUCUCAUUUUAUUGAGAAGAGAUUCCAUUCCAUGACAUCUGUUAUGUGCCUUGGAAUAUCCAAACUCUUAAUCAUGCUGGGUCGAAAGUGCUUAUGUGAAAUAUAUGACUUUCUGAUGUGUCAUAUUGUUGAUUUCAAAAUAUGCAUAUGUAUACCUUGCCUAUCAUUUUAGACUAUACAAUAUAUCAAAAUGACUUCUCAUAUUUUUUUUAGAGUAUCUCGAAUGGACAUGAACAAACAUGGGAGAGUAGGAGAGGUUUUUAAAAUAUUGUGGAUACAUUCUCAUGGCAGAAGUUAGAGCAUCCCCAUGUAUUUAUUUUCUUGCUUUGUACUCUUAUUUGCAGAUCUAAAGAGGAGGUCUCUAAGAUUGUCAAAUUAUGUAACAGUCAUAAGGCUUCAGUUCUUCUAACUCAACAACCAUUGUUUAGCAUGUUCUAGCUGAUUGUUUUACCUUAACAUUUUAUUAUAAAGCCAUUUGGAUCAGACCAAAUCUAUAUUCUUCAUAUAUCUCUUUUGGCCCUGCAUUUUUCAUCACUUUUUUUUUGUUGAUUUUUCUCCCUUUGAAAAAAAAAUCUUUAUUUCUGCUGUCCCUUUCAUACUUGAAUUGUUUUGCAUUUGGAAUUUAUAUCUCUUUUCAUCCUUAAAAAAAAUGUCCAUCUGUUUUCUUUGUCUAUCCUCAAACAAGGCUGUCUUCCUUCAUCAAAUACAUAUUUUUUUCCCUUUCAUUGUUUUUUCAAUUAUCAAUUUGUCUUCUAUAUCUUUGUUGCAACCAUAUAUCUAUUGUGAUAGCCCGGCAAUUUUUCUAAAGCAUAAUGGGUGUCAUAGGAACUGGUUUAGCCAAUCACAAUCAAAUUUAUAAUUCCUUGUUUUUAGCCAUCCAACUAUUCAUCAAGAUGGUCCUUCUGAUUUAGCUGUAGCUGGCCUUUGAGUAUUAACUUGCACAAUGUUUGUACUACAUUGAGUACAUUCAUCAUUUUCUUUUGGUUAGCUUCUACUAAAUCAUCUGCAAAUGGAUUAAACCUCAUCCUAAUAUCUUGAACCGUGUCAAUUAUGUUAUGCUACUAUAGUCCUGAAUCUCCUGAUGAAAAAGUAACAUAAACCUAUUUCAUUCCCCUGCCCCCCAAAAUUUUCUUGUUUCUUCUAAUAGUGUUGAGCUCUUCUUUUAAUAUUCAGUUAGACAUUAUUUGAACUUAGAUUAUAAAACCCAAAAAUCUACACCGUGAUCCUUACCUAACUAAUUAAAUUUUAAAUCAAGCAGUUAUUUGGCAUGUUAUUAGAGUGUCUUUUUGACCAAUAAUGUUAAUACUUAAUAAUAAAUGAUGAUUGUGUUCAUGUGAAACUUGUGGCUGCAUUUUACUUUUUAUUUAUGCUUUAUUUUUUUAAAAAUUGUAAUAGGUUCCUAUUGUACCAUAUGGCGGAGCUACAUCAAUUAAGGGUCACACCGUAUCCCCUCAUGGAGGGGUUUGCAUUGACAUGUCAUUAAUGAAAGUAUUUACAUGUUCUAUUACGAUAGUAUAAUAUAUGCAUAUAAUUGUUUCCAGUAUAUUAUGAUUAUGAAAUAUAUAUUUCAUUCAAAUGGAAUGUGGUGAAACUCAUGUAAGGCCUAUUUGGUCUCAUGUCUGCUCAAGGGCUGCUGAACUCAAAAUUUGAUAUGUUUGAGAAUAAAAUCAAGCACAGUAGACUUGUAGAAGUUUAAGAUGCCUUUGUUGGCUUGGAAUGGGUGUUGAAUCCAUAGUUUUCCAUUUUUGUGUUCCCCUUUUGAUCCUUAUUGUGUUUCUGUUAGAAAUCUUAUUCUUCCUUUUUCAUUCUCAACCUUCAUUCAAAAUUCUACCCCUCCUGUGAACAAAUAAGAUGUCAUUUGUUGGAAUGGAGCAUGUUUCUGAUGCUAAACUGUAAGCACUUACUCUACCAUUGUCCUUAAGGGAAGAACAUAUAAAAACGAAAACCCAAAGAUGACACGUUUCCUUCUGGGAAGUGCAUUUUCAUACCGGCCUGUGGAGUUGCCUCCAGUCUGCUAAUCAGGAAGCAAUUUUACACACAUGUAUUUUUUCCUUUUUGAAAUAAAUUUUAGGGCUUGUAUUGAAUUGAUCUGUGUGAUGUAUUCUUAAUUUGCUUAUGUUAAGGCAGAGUUGAGAGCUUACAGAGUUGAUAAGACUUCUCUCUUUGUGGCCUAAAUAUCUUCUCCUUGCUUUGUCAUAAUCUUUGUUAGAGAUGCAACGUAAAACCAUCUAUGUGUCUUCACCUAAUGGCUUAAACUUUUGGGAUUUUUGGUUCAUGACAAUCUUUAUUGUUACAUGUUUUCAAAUGCUGUCUUUUGAUGCCUCCUUUUACUUAAAAGUUAGGAUUUAUACUUGUAACCCAUGGAAUGAUAAUUGUAUUGCUGUGCUAAACAGUAACAUGCAUUGAAUAUUACCAUUGUAGUAUGCUAGUGGCUUUUCUAUGAAUACAUUAAGCAAUGCAUUAUUGUUUAAUUGUUACUGCAAAUUAUGAAAAUACUUUUAGUAUCAUCAUUAGGAUUACAAAAUUUUAAAGUCAUUCUGUUGCACAGAUUUCUUACUAUUUUCUGGAAUUGAAGUUGUAGUACAGAAAUAUGUUUUAGAACCAGCUACUGUACAUUUCUUGAUGAAUGAUGAUUAUAGCCGUAUCAUUAGAGUAAUCUUGUUUAUAUGUGCAUAUACCAUUAUGUAGACAAGGCACUUGCUCAGAUGUAUUUACACAUGCAGAAUACAGAAUACAGAUCAUGUGUGCAUAAUGGUACAGAUUGGACAUAAAAAAGUGAACUUUACUGUAGCUGUUAUACUUACAUUGUAUACUAGUGCAAUCUAUAGAGAGUGAAAGCAUUACAUGUUAAUGGCAUGGAUGUUGUUGUUGAGCCUGGCAUUGGAUGGAUGGAGCUUAACGAGUAUUUGGAACCUUAUGGCCUAUUUUUUCCACUUGAUCCAAGUUAGUUGGAUAUGACCUGGGAGUAUAUCUGAUAGUUGAAGGUUAAAAGAGGCUUAAAAUUCUGGAAGAAUGCACUGAUUUUAAGUUAAAUUUAUACUUGUUACAAGCAGGUCCUGGUGGUAGCAUUGGAGGCAUGUGUGCUACAUGUUGCUCUGGUUCGCCAGCUGUGAGGUAUGGCACUAUGCGUGAUAAUGUCAUCAGUCUCAAGGUGGUUCUUGCCAAUGGAGACAUUGUGAAGACUGCAUCACGUGCUAGGAAGAGUGCUGCAUGGUUUGUUUUAUUCCUUUCCCUUUAUCUAUUAAUUAAUUUCACUUAUAAUUUUCCCCCUUCUGUGUGCUUUGCAAGAGGUCAGGUUAGUAUAAUUAAAAUACAAAGGGAAAAAUAUUUGGUAAAUUCUAUCAACUACCAACAAUAGAAUAAAUUGAUUAAAUACCUGAGACACUUCUCUUCUUCAUUUAUCCUUCUUGGAUAUGAUGUUUGACAUCCUUAACUAUCCCUCCAUCUUUUAGGAUUUCCUUUAUAGUGUUUUUGGCUUUCAAUUUUUGGUAUUCAUCUCCAAUUUUUAUGCAUCAUUCACUCUCCUUUGCUGGGUUCAUAAAAUCAAUAAACUUUGUUUGAUGAACUCAAUCGAAAUCCCUUGGUUUUCAAAGCAUUUCCCUCUAACUCCAACUCCAACUCCAGCACCCACCCGAAUUAUAAAAAAUGUCAUUAGCAAAAAAAUCCACCAAGACACUUCAUCCUGAAUAUGCCUAGCAAGUUUGUUCAUUAGGAAUAAAAAAUCCUAUACAGGGUUUAAUGUUAAACCUGGAUGUAAACAUUUAUUACUGAUUCAACUCUUAGAAUUUGGGCUUAAAGCCUAACUCAACCCCACAAAAUCAGUUUGUAAGGUGAGACGUGUUCAAGUCUUAUAGGGACUACAUUGGUCAUAUCUCUAGUCAAUGUGGGAUCUCAACAUCAGCAUACAUAUCCUUUUUUGCUUAAAUGCAUGCAAUACAACUCCCUUGCAUUACAGUGCAAAAUACUUCAAAGAAUCCCUCUAGGGACUGCUAUGUAAUGACAAGCUACUGAUUUUUUUUUUCCUUUCUAGAAAAUAUAUAUUAUGAUUUCACAUGAAUGCAUGCAACACAACUCCCUUACAUUACAUUGCAAAAUACUUCAAAGAAUCCCUUUAGGGAUUGAUAUGUAAUGACAAGUGUUAACAGAUUGACAAAUGUAUCAAUUUUAUCACAAGUAAUAAAGAUUAAACUGAAGACCGAGUGUCGAGUUCACAAAAACUUUGUUUGUACUUGCGUUGGUAAAUACUCAAUUUGUAAACAAUAGAAGAAGUGGAAGAGGAAAAAAAUUGUAAGUGUGAAAUUUGAGGGUAAAAGGGCAAAAGAAAAAAGAUAACAAGAAAAUUAAACAAUAGCUUAAAUGCAAAAGAUGAGUUCAGAAUGCAAUUAUGUUGGGACCUAUGCCUAACUACCCUUGAUGCAAUAUUAAUGUUUUUUCUCGCUUUCCCAAUUUCCACCCACGUUUAUUAAUAUGUUCUCCCCUAUCCCUCACGAUGAAGAGCCUAAUUUAUGUAUUCUCUCUCCCACAUCCUUUUGCAAAGAUGGAAUCAUAAACAACAUUAAGUAUAAAGAUGUAUGCAGAGGCACAACAAAGCCACUCUAACAAGGAGCUGGAUGCAUCACCACUACUAGUUUGGUAAGUCUGAUCAGGGUUAUUUGAUUCUGGAUACUGAAGUUAGAUUCAAUUUUGUCACAAUUCAUGUUACUUGAUGAUGAUGGAUGAUCAAACAGAGUGAUAUCAUCAUCUCGUAUUACCUGUGUAUAUGGAAUUGGCAAUCAGAGUGAAAUUUUUCCUUAAAUUUUUAAAUGGUUCAAUCUUGGUUAUUUAAGUUUACGGAAAAUUUCAUAAAUUAUCUCGUAUUACCUGUGUAUAUGGAAUUGGCAAUACUUGUUAGCACAACAUAUUCUUAACUAUUGGGUAAAAUUUAUCUAGAACUUCAUUGA